rnacentral:rRNA from 1 species
CCCGCACAAGCGGUGGAGCAUGUGGUUCAAUUCGACGCAACGCGAAGAACCUUACCUGGGCUUGACAUCCCGAGAAUCCCGCAGAAACGUGGGAGUGCCCUUCGGGGAACUCGGUGACAGGUGCUGCAUGGCUGUCGUCAGCUCGUGUCGUGAGAUGUUGGGUUAAGUCCCGCAACGAGCGCAACCCUUGCCUUUAGUUGCCAGCAUUCAGUUGGGAACUCUAAAGGGACUGCCGGUGUUAAACCGGAGGAAGGUGAGGAUGACGUCAAGUCCUCAUGGCCCCUAUGUCCAGGGCUACACACGUGCUACAAUGGUCGGUACAAAGGGCCGCGAACCCGCGAGGGGGAGCUAAUCCAUAAAAGCCGGCCUCAGUUCGGAUUGGAGUCUGCAACUCGACUCCAUGAAGUUGGAAUCGCUAGUAAUCGCGGAUCAGCAUGCCCGCGGUCCGAAUACGUUCCGGGCCUU